rnacentral:tRNA from 1 species
AGCCCGGUAGUGUAGAGGUCAAUCAUGUGAGGCUCUGGACCUUGCGACACAGGUUCGAAUCCUGUCCGGGCUACCA